UGGGAUACGCAUUACAACCAAAUUAUUCUUAUCAAGGACCCUAACUAUGGAAUACGCAUGAUAGAGACACAUAUAAAAGAUCAUUAAGUUCAAUGGAAAUCAUAAGCAUUGACGAGGCAUUCAUAACUAUGGGAUACGCAUGUUACUCUUGCCUAGGAUUUACUUAACACAAUCGUGACUAGCGACUUUUACUACUUAUGAAUAUAAGUUAAUAACGAUUAGGUGAAAUUUCCUUAUACUCUAGCAUCAAAUUCAUGCAUGCGAACUAAGUAUGCAUCCUUAAUUAACAUACAAGAACAAGUUAUCAAUCAAAUAGAUAAGUAAACCACAUUCACGAUUCAUGAAAUCAUAAUUGGAAGACAUCAAGUCAUAUAAAACAUAUGAUCAUGGCUUUGAAUUCCCCUCUAACUAUAAAGAAAUUAGUUCCUCAUGUUCGCAAAUAAACAAAGAUAAAUAAAUUUAAACAUUGAAACAAAGAUAGAAAACACCUAGAAACGCUCCGACAAUCCAACGUCUUGAAUGGUAUACACGACUCCAAGUUGUCUUCCUUCUUCUCCUUGCAAACUCACGGCACAAUGAGGGAUGAUUGGUGAAUGGUGUAGUGAAAAUCUGGUAGAGGGUGGUGAGGUAAAGGGUGCGGCAAUAGGUUGUAUAUAUAGGCUGAAAAUCCCAUCUCCUAGGUAGCAAAGGACAAGGUUUUAAAGGCCUAAAUUGCAUAGGAUAAUAACAUCCAAUCCUAUAAGGAAAACAAGUUAAAAACCCAAAGGGAUUGGGAGAUAAUGUGCAGCACAAAGAGUGUGAAAAGAUAAGGCUUCUAGAAACCAAAAAUCCCAAGGGAAAUAGGUAUUAGGUGCAGCAAGGAUCUAGGGUUCUAGAAGAUAAUGCAAGGCAGAUUUUUAGGCUUCUAGAAAGGUUCCUAGGUGUCAUCUUUGUAGGAUAAGAUAAGGUCUUCUAGAAAUCCCAAUUUAAGCAUCCUAAUCUAAUUAGAAAACCCUCCUAAAUGGCUGGAAUGUGGAUAGUUUAGGAUUAGGAUAAGAUAGGAUAAGAUAAGGUUUAUUUGGAUAAGAUAAGCUAAGAUAAGGUUAUGGAUGAGGUUUUGGAUAAGAUACCUUAUCUUGAGCUGAUUCAUUGGCUUUAAUUCUUCUUCUUCAUGUAGGAAACCUUGCUUGAGUAGGAAACUUCAUUCAUCUAGGAAUCCAUCUUCAAUUAGGACUCCUACAUUGAUUAGGAAUCCUUCUUCAUUUUGGAAUUCUUCGUUUAAGCUCUUUCCUUCUUCAACUAGGAAACUUUGUAUCUUCAAUUCUUCAACUUUGAAACGCCUUCCUAGCUUCAUCAAUUCCUCAAAUUCGUCCAUCCAUUGUGCUUCAUGUGCAUGAACUUCAUUCUAGCCCAAUUUUGCUCCAAAAUGCUCCAAAUUGCAUCCUUUUGCUCACUUUGUCUCUAAAACCUGAAAACACAUGAAAAUAGCUUAAAAGACUAACUUAACUAAGAAAACAUAACAUAAAUGCAUAAGAACUAUCUAACUAAAGCACAUAAAUAUGCUCCUAUCAGGAACUUGGAGAACCAUUUCAUCCAUCCAAAUCCAUAGAUCUAAGAUGCAAGGAAUGAAGGCCCUCUCAUUGGGUGAUUAGCCUUUGCUUAUGCAAAGAGGAAUCUACAAAGGUAUAAUUUCACAACUAACAAAUGUUGUUUUAAGUUGAGUCAAGGUUCACCAAUCUACUAGGCUUUGAAUUUCAUGGGUAAUGUUUUGUUUUUGAGUGCAUACAAGCAUGAUUCCGCUUUUUAAUUGUUAAUUGCAUGCUAUAGAUGUUGCUUAAAUGAACAUGUUUUUCACUAUAUUUCCUUCACUUGGAGGAGUGAUGCGAAAAUUAACUUAACACACAAAUUUAACCCUCUUUUGACAAUUGUAGUAUAAGUAUAAGUAGGGAUCGUUCUAGACCAGGGAUUAGGAGGGCUUGCUAAUAACCUCUAAACUGACUCAAAAACAUAAAACUAAAUUUAAAAACACUUAACAAGACUCACAAGACUCAAAGCAAACUAAAAAUACUCAAAACAGCUUAAAACAACCAAAUAAACUUAAACUAGACACUAUGAAUGACUUUGGACGAAAAUUGACUUUUACUUGAAUCAAAACAUUUAAAAACACAAAUUAAAACAUAUUCUGACUAAUUAGACACACUAAAGUAAAGGGGGAGUGAGUUUUGG
rnacentral:lncRNA from 1 species